GAUGCGGUGGCUGAGUCUAGGCGAUAAAUUGUAAAUUUAUAAACGAAUUUCAUAUUCCCGCAUCA
rnacentral:tRNA from 1 species